GAUCUCGCGCGUUUCGAUGGAAGGGUAUUCUGGAGAACGUUUCCGGUGGAUGCUGGUCGACGGUGUGGCCGAUCAUAAAUCGGUUUUAGAUUCGAGCGGGCGUGCGUGCGCGGGGGAGCGACGUUUCUGUGGAUCGUUUCGCGAGUGGAAGGACGAGAGUUCGGGGGAGGAGAGGAGGGACGACUCUGUUGGUGUGUCUGUUCGUUGCGGAUGCGGAUCUUACGCGGGUCGUGAUUGUGACAACGAGUCGGCCAAUUUGCAGCCGAGAAUGCUGGUGCUUGUUAAAAGGAGGAAGGAAACGGGUUUCAAUCUUGUGACGAGGAUGGCGGCCGUCUUUGUUAUCGCGUGCCUCCUGCUGAUGGACACUCGGCCGACGUCUGCAGCCUUUAACAAUGUUACAGUCGUUUCAGUUACCACCGUCCCGGAUCCGGAGUUCGUUGAUGAAAUAGGAAAUAUCACAGUCCCAGCAGGGCGUAACGUGAAAUUAGCCUGCAGUGUUAAGGAUUUGGGACCGUACAAGGUGGCCUGGAUGCUUUUCGACAAGAGCGCCAUCCUGACAGUACAAAGUCACGUUAUUACCAGGAACCCUAGGAUAUCCGUGACCCAUGAUAAGCAUAGGACCUGGUUCCUACAUAUCAAAGAUGUUCGGGAGGAUGACAAGGGAAAGUACAUGUGUCAGAUUAAUACGGCAACCGCGAAAACCCAGUAUGGCUAUCUGCACGUAGUAGUGCCUCCUAAUAUAGAGGACUACCAGACCUCGUCGGACGUCAUUGUGCGAGAAGGCGCGAACGUGACGCUAACGUGCAAAGCGACAGGAAGCCCGAAACCGACCAUAAGCUGGAAAAGAGACGACGGCUCGAUGAUUUCAAUUAACAAGACUUAUUCCGUGAUGGAAUGGGAUGGCGAGAUGCUGGAAAUCACACGUAUCUCGAGACUGGACAUGGGCGUUUAUUUAUGCAUCGCGACAAAUGGCGUCCCUCCGACUGUUAGCAAGCAGAUCAGAGUCUCGGUUGAUUUCCCCCCUAUGCUCUGGAUACCGCACCAAUUGGUCGGUGCACCCUUGGACCACUCAGUCACGUUGGAAUGCCACACCGAGGCUCAUCCAACUUCUUUGAAUUACUGGACCAGGGAGGAUGGCCUGAUGAUUCAGGGUAGCAACAAAUACAAGACCACCUCCACACCGGAGAAACCCUCGUACAAGACGCAUAUGACGUUGACGAUACACGAUCUGCAGGAGGAGGAUUACGGCAGCUACAAGUGCGUGGCGAAAAACCCACGUGGGGAGACCGACGGCACCAUUCGCCUGUACACGUCUUGUAAGUUGAAAAGCAUAGGGACGAUCGACGAAAAUUACAAAACGAGUAAUCGUUAAGGGGGACAAACGGAAGCGACCCUGGUAGAUGGCGCGCGUAUCGAAACGUGCACGAGGAAUGGCGCAAUUAUAAGAAUUGCCGGUACAAAGAGCAAUUCAGACGAGGGCAAAGACGAAUAAAAUUUCUUCUCUCGCGACGGGAAAAGAAGAAAGGUCGUAAGUUAACGCACGAACGAACGGCUACGAAAUGGGAGUCAAACGAUCGUUUGAACUUCGUACGAAACAACAAUUACGGAACAGUCAACGUUAUACGUCGCAACUAGCAUUGCUCUAACAUUAUCUGCGACGUAAUGUUCUUGGCAAUUCAAAACUGUGUUUUUAUUGAAGAAACGAGCAAAUUCUUGUUGAUUAAUUGUCGUC
rnacentral:misc_RNA from 1 species